CCUUAGCCCCGAUAGUAGUGGAAAUCCUUUUUUGCUUUGAUUUCACUUUCUUUCGGAUGACCAAAUGUGGUGCAAAAAAGAUUGCAACGGAUAGCGGGAUCAAGC
rfam:Epilithonimonas sp. FH1 contig06, whole genome shotgun sequence.